GCGACGGACGGCACCAGCAUUCUCUCCGGCUGCACCGACGCCAGCGUGCGCCAGCGCUCCGCUCCGCCGCGUGUCCGAGACGAGCAAGACCGCGCCCCGCGAUCUACCACUACUAGUGGUGCGGGGGAGAGCGGAGGCAGGCUCCGCCGUGUUCGAAACCUAGGACCUUAAAGUGGUGUGUUCAGCCAGUGUUGUUCGGCAGGCAGCGGACGUCCGGCAGCGUCCUCCACGAUGCGCGGGACCGCGGUGACGGCCGCACUGCUCACUGUGUCCGCCCUCCUCUGCACGGGCAGCAUGCCGCUGUGCACAGCGCUGCCCGCGGACCCUCGCCAGGACCCGGAGUCGCCCAUGCCGUCCCCCAUGGACAUGGCCAUGGACAUGGUCACCGAGUUGCCCCCUUCGGACGCGAGCUCCCCCAUGAACGCGGAGUCGUCCACAGUGGCGGGGACGACGGCAGGGACUGCGGAGGCAACGACGGAAGCCUCGACUGC